GGGCCUAUAGCUCAGGGGUUAGAGCAGUCGGCUCAUAACCGAAAGGUCCCAGGUUCGAUCCCUGGUGGGCCCACCA
rnacentral:tRNA from 1 species